GGGGAUUUAGCUCAGUGGUAAAGCGCUUGCCUAGCAAGCACAAGACCCUGGGUUCGGUCCCCAGCUCCA
rnacentral:tRNA from 1 species